rnacentral:miRNA from 2 species
UAAGUGCUACUUGUUGGGGUA